UACGGGGGGAGCAAGCGUUGUUCGGAUUUACUGGGCGUAAAGAGCGUGUAGGCGGCCCGGUAAGUCCGCUGUGAAAGUCGGGGGCUCAACCCUCGAAUGCCGGUGGAUACUGUCGGGCUAGAGUGCGGAAGAGGCGAGUGGAAUUCCUGGUGUAGCGGUGAAAUGCGCAGAUAUCAGGAGGAACACCGAUUGCGAAGGCAGCUCGCUGGGACGUCACUGACGCUGAGACGCGAAAGCGUGGGGAGCAAACAGG
rnacentral:rRNA from 1 species